CACACACACACACACACACACACACACACACACUAAAAUACAUAAUAAAAUAUAUAAAAUAUUAAGUUCAACCCUAGGUACAUAAAUGGUACAGAAAAUGAAGAAGCAGAUAAAAAUGAUUUGGGUCAAAUCAAACUAUGUAACUGGCAGGUGAGCAGAGCUUUUUAGAAGUGGCCUGAUGGCCCACAUUAGACCAGUGUGCCAAGAUGGCUUAAUUGGUCAUACACAACACUCCACUAGUUUUGCUUCAAUGAACAUAAUGAAACAUUAAGUUUAAGGCAAGUUCUCAUCUUAAUUUUUGACAUGGGAAAUUCACCACCUGAUAUAUGGCUUUUUACCUUCAUUUUUGUGUGGUGAACAUAACUUUGUAAUGCAUAGUGACCUCUCAGGUAUUCCUGGAAAACUACCAGGGUUCUCCAGAAACUCUCUCAGAUCUUGUAUAAUGACAUAUCUAUAACGAAUGUGUGCUGUUUUAAUAGUUCAUAUUAUGAUGACUUUUCCAUCUAAAACAUGACUUCAGGAUCUGGCCUUGGAGGUGCCAGAAUGAGUAGGUUUCCCACUCAUUUCAAGCCGUGAGUAUAUAUAGACAAUACUCACAGGUCAAGUCUCAAUUUGAGCCCUAUUGGUGGUUUGGGGUAGUUCUAUCACCCAAGUCAAUAUUUAUCAAGGAAAGUGUGCACUGAAAUUUAGUUUGGGACUGAAAAAUUGCAUUUGCUUUGUUUCUUUUUUAGGAUUAGAACUCAGUACCCAUUAAACCAUAAUUGAAGAGGCAUUUAAAACAGGCUGAUGUUGUUUGUGUUCCUGUCACAUCCCACAUUUAGGCAAACACCUGAAAUGCUGACUCAGAACUGGAAUGAACCUGAGCUCCUCAGCAGUAAUGAACUGUUUGUAUUUGUGGGUGGAUAAAAAUCAGCGGUUUUUUUAUUUAAAAACCACAUAUAUUUGUGUUGACCUAUUUUAUACAAACAUUAUUUGAGAGGAUAGGAGCAAAUAUUAAAGAAAGUGUCGUGCCCGUUUACAAGUCAAAUAUCACCCCCAUUAAUGUAGAGUACUACGUGUGGUAACUUUUUAAAAUUCAAAUGAGAAACAUGGGCAGCAAUGCAUGCAAAAUGUUCAUUCAUUGUAGUAAACUACAAAAAUAUUGCUUUUAUGCAAUGAGAAUGCUAUUGUAGAAUUUUAAAAGGCACAGAAAUAAAAGACUCGGGAUUGGAGUUAUUUAAACAAACUUGCUAGGAUAUAGUAGAUGAUUAAAAUACAAUCUAUAAUUACAUUACGCUGGUAUCAGGUAAGGAUAAAAGCCUAUAAAUACACUGGGGUCAGGGUAAGCAUAAAAAAUGAAACAGUUAUUUGAAUAAUCUGAGAUCAAGUUGCAGUAAUUAAAAAUGAAUGUAUUAUUCAAAUGAAGGAAUUAGGUUACAACACUUCUCAUGAAAAUAUUAUUGUGACAGGCAGAAAUAAGUUUGAAAUGGGUUUAAUAAAAAUUUUUGGAGAAGGAAUAUAAUGACUUAUAUGUGGUAGGAACGGGAGUAAGCAAUUACUCCAGAUCAGAGUAUCUUUGGCUAGCUCAUACACACCUUCAAACAUACGUUGGCUGCUCUCUUUUUCAUGGCCUUGUCCACGAGGAUCACACCAUCAUUUUUAUCUUCUGAAGAAUUCUACAUCUUCCAGCUUCCCCAAUUAAUUCACGAAGUAUUAACUUGAUGUGACUGCUCACAGCAAGUAAGGAAGUGAACAGUAACUGGAACAGUGUGGUUCUUCAGGGACCAACUAAAUAGGAUGUUAAAUCAUAGAAUUGUAGAGGUGGAAGGGACCACCAGGGUCAUCUAGUCCAACCCCCUGCAAUGCAUGAAACUUUUCCCCAUGUGGGGCUUGAACCCCUGAUUCCGAGUUUAAGUAUCUCAUGCUCCACGAACUGAGCUUUAAAUGUGUAUUUGCAUGUAACAUGUACAUUUUUAAAAAGAACGCGAAUAGGACUUCCGGGGUGGCGCCAUCGGCAAUGGCGGACUCCCUCUGAACUGGAGGGACUAGCUCCGCACGAAACUGGUCUUUUCCGCUAUGGUGAAGCGGGGACCCUUUUAAAAAUCACAGGCAGAUGAAGCCUGUGACCAUGGGACUCGGCGGGCACCCUUAGCGCCCCCCCAACCCGCAAAGGAACCCACUAACGGGCUCCGAAGCGAAGAGGGGGAAGCGGCGCGGUGCUGUGAGUCAACUGCUAUUUCCGUGGAGCGAAGCCGCAUAGCCGUUGCCGGAGAGCGCUGCCUUUUCCUGGGACAAUUUGGCUUCUAAAAUAAGCACCCGUGAGUACUUAAACUUUGAACAAAUUGGACUUUAAAUAAGGAUUUGCAAGCAGAAAGGAAUUGGAUUUAAAAAUUUGCUUCAAUUUGGUACUGAAACGGGAAGGUCUAAACAGGAAGUCAGCCUUCCGUUUCUUUGUAGAAAGAACAAAGCAAAGACAACGUAAACUAGAGCUUAGAAAAUCGCUUCUAAAGGAUCAGCUUUCAUCAUUUAAAAUCCUCGAACCCCCCUUCGGCAGCAGGAGAAGAAGGGGGAUCUUUUUCGGACUGUUUAAACCUGCAGAAGUGAGUUUAAAGUAAAGUAACUUUCCACCGUCCUGAUCCUGGAGCGGGGUGUCAGGACUGACGUUUGAAGCUCAUUGACCAGAGACAAACGUUUUUGACAGAUAGCUAAAAGAAGAGAAACAUAGUGAUUCCACUGUUUCCUUUCGCAUUUUAAAGGAACAAAUAUUGACAAAAUAUCUUAAAAAUGAAACUUUGUUGCAAGAAGAACUAGAAGUUUUCGCCCUAGAGGGAGACUGGGAAACUGUAACUAAUUCCAGGAGCUUGCAGCUGCCACAGAUUACAAUCGUGGGAAAAGGCUUGUGACCUUGUAGGACAAUGAAUUCAGAAGCUCUGUUGUGUGCUCUCUGUAAAAUAAAUGCUCUACUGGAACAGUUAACCGAGAAGACGGAUUUGAUGACUAAUGCGGUCAGAAUUUUUGAACAGGCAGUGGGAAACUAUACGGAGCCCACCCAGGAAUUAAAUCAGGAGUGUGCCCUGACAGAACAGAUGAGAGAAGAGGAUGUUGCGCAAUCUUGGGCGCCAGAGAUGGAGGGAGCUGCGGCCCAGCAGGAACAUGAGCUUUUGGAUUUGACAAAUGAACUUGGAAAAAGCCAGAUUAGGAAAGAUAAAGUUUGGACUGAUUUGGAAAUGGGGGGUUGGAUGUUUGGAAAUGGGGGGUUGGAUGUUGCAGGGAUGUUUGGACUUUCCGAGUCUGGCAAUGGGCCGUGAGAUGUUUGGAGCUGUGGGGGCUCUCAAUUUUGGAGGGAUUCUGAAAUAUGACUUUAAAUACUACAUGGAGUUUAGUCUGGACUAUGGAAAAGGGGCUGAUUUGUUGAAAAGGGUCAAAAACAUUACCAAGCUGGAGUUCCCACGAGUGAAAGGUGAAUAUGAAGAAGAGCUGCGGAAGGGACAUGGAAGGGACUUAAGGGCCUCGGAUAUAAGGUUACCAGGUUAAUGCGCUAGAUCGAUGGGAUAAAAAGGACUGACAAAACCCGGGACCAGGAGGAAGGGACGCUGGAUGAAGAUUGGAUUGUUUCUAUUUCUUUUUUUAUUACUAGGAUUGUUUUAUAAAAUUGAUGACUGUUAGAAAAAUGUUGGAACGAAAUUACUUGGCUCUAGCAAAAAUGUUUAAAGAAUUAGGCAAGAAUAUUAUGGUCAUGAGAAGUGGGUAAAAAUAAGAUUUAAGUUUUAAGGUUUUUAUAAGAUAAGAUGAAAAUAGAUCAAGGUAAUGUAAUGACAGAAUAUUAUGAAAUAUGGAAAGGAUUUGCUGCGAUAAUUAAUAACUGGGAUAC